rnacentral:rRNA from 1 species
GACGCUGGCGGCGCGCCUAACACAUGCAAGUCGAACGGAGCUUAGAGAGCUUGCUUUUUAAGCUUAGUGGCGAACGGGUGAGUAACGCGUGAGUAACCUGCCCUAGAGUGGGGGACAACAGUUGGAAACGACUGCUAAUACCGCAUAAGCCCACGGCUCGGCAUCGAGCAGAGGGAAAAGGAGCAAUCCGCUUUGAGAUGGCCUCGCGUCCGAUUAGCUAGUUGGUGAGGUAAACGGCCCACCAAGGCGACGAUCGGUAGCCGGACUGAGAGGUUGAACGGCCACAUUGGGACUGAGACACGGCCCAGACUCCUACGGGAGGCAGCAGUGGGGAAUAUUGCACAAUGGGGGAAACCCUGAUGCAGCGACGCCGCGUGGAGGAAGAAGGUCUUCGGAUUGUAAACUCCUGUUGUUGAGGAAGAUAAUGACGGUACUCAACAAGGAAGUGACGGCUAACUACGUG